AGAGAAAAUGAUGGUGCAGCCGAAACUGAGCUGCAGGAGGGUGAGUCUGAAGUCUCGUCGAGAGCAAUAAGCAUGUAAGAUUAUUAGAACCAGAGUCUUAGGAUUUCAUACAUGGUUAAAAUUCCAUUUGUUGUAAAAUGUAAAUUCAUAAAACAGGGUGUUGAUCCUCUUGUAAAACAACAUAGCAAUCUGCUUCCAGGAAAGUCAUAGAAAAU
rnacentral:misc_RNA from 1 species